UUUCAUUACUCCCACUACUGUUUUACUUCUUUUACUCUCUCUCUCUCUCUCUCCCUAUCUCAAAGACAACACUCUCUUUCACUUUAUUCUUAUAAAAAAAAAAAUCCAGCUCGAACUGUGUAGUCUUUACUCAUUUCACGACCAUCUCGUCCUUCCUUUCUCUCUCUAAACGCAAACCCAUCUCUAGUUUUUAUUUUUAUAUACUGCUCAUUACUGCAAUGCCAAGUUUGGUCAUGGUAGAUCCACCAUUCUGAGCAAAACCCAUUAUUUCUAAGACCAUUUCCACAAACAUGGGUGUUCUGGUUGAGUCUUGGUGUUUCUGCAAAGGUGUAGGAAAGUCUGAGAGAAUGAAAGCUACCAUUUUUACUAACAAAGCUUCUGCCAUGGCCAGAAUCUCUGACGGCACUGGCUUCUUGAUCCACCGGAAUCUCCUCUUGACCACUCAUGCUAAUCUUCCCUCUGUGACUUCUGCCGAGAGCUCCGAGAUCCGCCUCCAAAAUGGUGUCGCCGCCACUCUUGUUCCUCACAGGUUUUUCGUAACAAGUUCUGUUUUAGAUCUUACAAUUGUGGGUUUAGAUGCCAUGGAUGGAGAUUCAAAUGCCCAGGGGCAGCAGCCUCACUACUUGAAAACCUGUUCUAAACCAAAUCUGGAUCUGGGAAGUGUAGUUUACCUCUUAGGCUACACGGAGAAAAAGGAAUUAACAGUUGGUGAAGGAAAGGUAGUGAUUGCCACUGACAAUCUCAUAAAAUUGUCAACAGAAGGAGUAAUAUGGAGUCCUGGGUCUGCUGGAUUUGAUGUACAAGGCAAUCUUGCAUUCAUGAUCUGUGAUCCUAUGAAACUAGCCACAUCGCCAAAUACCAAGUCUUCCUCAACUUCAUCAUCAUCCUCAUUGUCGUGGAAGAAGGAUCUUCCUCUGCAAUUUGGUAUUCCUAUUCCCAUCAUCUGUGAUUGGUUAAACCAGCAUUGGGAGGGCAGCCUUGAUGAACUUAACAAACCAAAGUUGCCAAUCAUUCGAUUAAUGUCUGCGGGCCAGAGGAGUGAGCAUUCUUGUGCUUCAUUCACACUGCGUCAAGUAUUUAAGUCAACCGAAAAUGAUAAUGAUGGAACCUCAUCUUCAUCCAAUAUAAUCUCUAAAGCAAGGGAUCAAACUGGGCCAACCUGUUCUGCUCCAGCAAACAAUGCUGAAGGAGAAACCCUGACAAAUGAUUUGCAUUCAACCCAUGUGCAAGGAAUUCCAACUCCAGAAAUAUAUGAAUCACCCAAGUUAACUUCAGUUCCUGUUAGGAAGAAAGAAAGUGUACAAAUCCAGCUUUUAGAUAUUAAUUUCCCUCCAAGGAUUUCCAAAGCAGCAGCAGUGACACAGUCAGCCAAACGACUGCCACUUAGCUUCAAUGAUAAUUGUGUUAAUGAACUUCCUCCACAGAGCCCACUGAGAGAAGACCAAAUCAAGCAUAAAGGUGUCACUAGUGCUGGUGCAGAUCCUGAGAUUUCCUCAACAGCUUCUGUAAAUGGGGUGCAAAGUGAGGUCCAGUCUAGUUCAUCUCCAAUAGAAGUUUCAGAGAUGCAGCAUGGGUAUAGCAGUGAGGGAGAGACUAUGUAUUCUGCAGAAACUGCCGAGAGUCGAAACUAUACAAGUCCUAGAGAGGGAAAGUUUCAGCAAGUGGGACGGAGCCAGAGUUGCGUAAUUUACAAUAGAUCGGGGAUUGUCCAAAGGAACUCAGUGGCUCGGAGAACAUUACUAGAAAAGCAGAGAAGUUUUAUCCAUGGAAGGAAGAUGUAUUCACAAGCGACAACUUCUCAAAGGAGUAACGACUACUAUAGCCCAACUGUAUCCUCAAUUAUGAAGAAGCGGAACAACUCAGAGCAGCCCAGCAGACCCCGGCAAAGUGCUGUUCAUUCUUCCCCAAGAUGGAUGUUUUAAUUGAUUCUUGAAAAGCGUGAUACCACAAAGAGACAUAAAAUUCCAGGUUGGUGAUAUUUAUAUCUGGAUGCUUCAGAAAUCUUAACAAAACCUGCUUGAACAAUCUUCUCCAAGCAACUGUACAUGGGGGGCAUACUAUACAUGUUUACAAAGUAACUUGGAACUGGUGUAUCGGAUAUAACUCAGGGAGUUGCUAGGUACUAUAAAGAUGAAUUGAGGAGAUGAUUGGGAACAAGUAGGACUAGGCUAUAUGCCUGCCCUACAAGAGCUACACGGCCAAAACCAUGGGCUUCUGACAGGAUUGCCUUCCCACAUUUUGUUGUUGUUGACUGGCUAUUUAGAUAAUAUGUUUUACAUGGUUAAGUGCUUAAACUUUGAACAGCCACGUGGCAUCAAUAACAUGUUUGGAUCCCAUGAAAUCAGUAGGAUGCCCAAGCAGGUUUCACUAAAUUCAUCUCAGGAAGGGACAGAGUGGCAGCUACAUUUGACUCAAACCAACCGAGC